rnacentral:rRNA from 1 species
GACGAACGCUGGCGGCGUGCUUAACACAUGCAAGUCGAACGAUGAACCGGAGCUUGCUCUGGGGAUUGGUGGCGAACGGGUGAGUAACACGUGGGCAACCUGCCCCAGACACCGGGAUAACCAUUCGAAAGGAUGGCUGAUACCGGAUACGACCACUUCAGGCAUCCGAUGGUGGUGGAAAGGAUUCUGGUCUGGGAUGGGCCCGCGGCCUAUCAGCUUGUUGGUGGGGUAAUGGCCUACCAAGGCGACGACGGGUAGCCGGCCUGAGAGGGCGGCCGGCCACACUGGGACUGAGACACGGCCCAGACUCCUACGGGAGGCAGCAGUGGGGAAUAUUGCGCAAUGGGCGAAAGCCUGACGCAGCGACGCCGCGUGAGGGACGAAGGUCUUCGGAUUGUAAACCUCUUUCAGCAGGGAUGAAGCGAAAGUGACAGUACCUGCAGAAGAAGCACCGGCUAACUACGUGCCAGCCGCCGCGGUAAGAC